AAACGACUCUCGGCAACGGAUAUCUCGGCUCUCGCAUCGAUGAAGAACGUAGCGAAAUGCGAUACUUGGUGUGAAUUGCAGAAUCCCGCGAACCAUCGAGUCUUUGAACGCAAGUUGCGCCCGAAGCCUUCUGGCCGAGGGCACGUCUGCCUGGGUGUCACUCA
rnacentral:rRNA from 1 species